AACGAACGCUGGCGGCAUGCCUAACACAUGCAAGUCGAACGAGACCUUCGGGUCUAGUGGCGCACGGGUGCGUAACGCGUGGGAACCUGCCCUUAGGUUCGGAAUAACUCCCCGAAAGGGGUGCUAAUACCGGAUAAUGUCUUCGGACCAAAGAUUUAUCGCCUUUGGAUGGGCCCGCGUUGGAUUAGCUAGUUGGUAGGGUAAAAGCCUACCAAGGCGACGAUCCAUAGCUGGUCUGAGAGGAUGAUCAGCCACACUGGGACUGAGACACGGCCCAGACUCCUACGGGAGGCAGCAGUGGGGAAUAUUGGGCAAUGGGCGAAAGCAUGAUCCAGCAAUGCCGCGUGAGUGAUGAAGGCCUUAGGGUUGUAAAGCUCUUUUACCCGGGAUGAUAAUGACAGUACCGGGAGAAUAAGCUCCGGCUAACUCCGUG
rnacentral:rRNA from 1 species